ensembl:lncRNA
UUGCAGCUGGAAGUUCAGAGAACAUCAGCAACACAGCAAGGGCCAUCCCUCCAAGGGAAGUCAGAAAAGCAAAGCUGAACUCUCACCAUUGAAGCUGCUUUGCAGACAGCACUUUCAAAACUCUGGCCCCAACUGCAGCAGAGUUUUCCACUUUCUCUGUGAAAAGGACACAACUAAAAUAACACUGCAGCUGAGAGAGAAAGAAUUUCUUCUAAAAUGCAUCCUGACUUCAGCACAAGCUAAGAUUAUGCAUCAGUACUUGGAAGACAUCACUCUUGGAAGCUCUUAAGGAGCACGAAGGACUCAAAGUACUACAAGAAGGAUCCUGCACUGCUCACAAGUCCUCGUCUACCUGCCCUCAAUUAAUUUCCAAAAACCCAGCUGGCUGACGGUUACAGAACUGAAGGAUGGCUGAUCCUGUUAGAGUUGGUCAGCUGCUACUUUCUCAGAAGUCUUUCCAAGAAAGGAGGGUACAACUGAGGCAAGAGUUAGCAGGAAUAUUACCUCCAGGAGAUUUCUGUGCAAGAACUGGAGCGCUCCAAAGACUCCUGUAGAAAUUUCUCUCUCCUUCGGAUCUGAAAUGACCGUGGGAGGUCUCAAAAUUUCAAGAGGUGCCAAGUCUGACAAGGACAUUCCACCUCCGUGUGCUUUUAAGUCUUGCUAAAACUGCUCCUGAAAGUUUAUUCAAAAUGAAUACAAAAGCAUACUGAAAUUUC